rnacentral:tRNA from 1 species
CAGUGCGCUUGCCUUCCAAGCAAGAUACGAGGGUUCAAUUCCCUUCACCCGCU